rnacentral:misc_RNA from 1 species
GUGAGUCAUCGAAUCUUUGAACGCACCUUGCGCCCCUUGGUAUUCCGAGGGGCAUGCCUGUUCGAGUGUCUUGAAUUCUUCGCCCCUGCCGGUUUUGUAACGAGACCGGGAGGAAGGCGGACGUGGGGGCCUGCCGCGGCGACGCGGCUCCCCUCAAAUGCAUCGGUGGGGCUUCCGAGCGUUCCACGGGCGUUGUAUUGUCCUCGUCCGACACUGGGCCUCGUCACCCGCCUCGACCUGCCGUGAGAGCGGCGGUCAAAGCACUUUGAAAUCUGACCUCGAAUCAGGUAGGACUACCCGCUGAACUUAAGCAUAUCAAUAAGCGGAGGA